rnacentral:rRNA from 1 species
AUUGAACGCUGGCGGCAGGCUUAACACAUGCAAGUCGAGCGGAGAUGAGGUGCCUGCACCUUAUCUUAGCGGCGGACGGGUGAGUAAUGCUUAGGAAUCUGCCUAUUAGUGGGGGACAACAUUCCGAAAGGUAUGCUAAUACCGCAUACGUCCUACGGGAGAAAGCAGGGGAUCGUCGGACCUUGCGCUAAUAGAUGAGCCUAAGGCGGAUUAGCUAGUUGGUGGGGUAAAGGCCUACCAAGGCGACGAUCUGUAGCGGGUCUGAGAGGAUGAUCCGCCACACUGGGACUGAGACACGGCCCAGACUCCUACGGGAGGCAGCAGUGGGGAAUAUUGGACAAUGGGGGGAACCCUGAUCCAGCCAUGCCGCGUGUGUGAAGAAGGCCUUAUGGUUGUAAAGCACUUUAAGCGAGGAGGAGGCUACUGAGACUAAUACUCUUGGAUAGUGGACGUUACUCGCAGAAUAAGCACCGGCUAACUCUGUGCCAGCCGCCGCGGUAAGAC